GCCUUGGAGUGGGGAAUAACAGGUGGAAACAUCUGCUAAUACCGCAUGAUGCAGUUGGGCCGCAUGGCUCUGACUGCCAAAGAUUUAUCGCUCUGAGAUGGACUCGCGUCUGAUUAGCUGGUUGGCGGGGUAACGGCCCACCAAGGCGACGAUCAGUAGCCGGACUGAGAGGUUGGCCGGCCACAUUGGGACUGAGACACGGCCCAGACUCCUACGGGAGGCAGCAGUGGGGAAUAUUGGGCAAUGGGCGCAAGCCUGACCCAGCAACGCCGCGUGAAGGAAGAAGGCUUUCGGGUUGUAAACUUCUUUUCUCAGGGACGAAGCAAGUGACGGUACCUGAGGAAUAAGCCACGGCUAACUACGUGCCAGCAGCCGCGGUAAUACGUAGGUGGCGAGCGUUAUCCGGAUUUACUGGGUGUAAAGGGCGUGUAGGCGGGACUGCAAGUCAGAUGUGAAAACCAUGGGCUCAACCUGUGGCCUGCAUUUGAAACUGUAGUUCUUGAGUACUGGAGAGGCAGACGGAAUUCCUAGUGUAGCGGUGAAAUGCGUAGAUAUUAGGAGGAACACCAGUGGCGAAGGCGGUCUGCUGGACAGCAACUGACGCUGAGGCGCGAAAGCGUGGGGGAGCAAACAGGAUUAGAUACCCCUGGUAGUCCACGCUGUAAACGAUGGAUACUAGGUG
rnacentral:rRNA from 1 species